AAUUAAUUUAUGUAGGUCUAAAAUAUAAGACACCAGGUACCUACAGUUUACCUUUUUUUUUUCUCUAAUCUUAAACACCCAAAAUUUUGAAAAAGUACAAAAAUUACUGCAAAUAAAUUAACACUUAAUAUUUUAGGAAUUUACUUCCCAUAAAAUUUCUCAAUCAAUUUAAUAUGAAAACUCAAAUGAGAAAGAACUCUUGGAUUGGUUCACAAAUGUUUUAUUGAAGAAACUGUACAAAUAAGUUUUUCUCAUCUGAAGUUUCAUCUUAAAUUAAUCAAUAUGGUUCACCAAGAGCUAACAGCUUAAUUUUUGAACAUUUCCCAAUUAACAUCUUAAUUGAUUUAAUUACUUAGUAAUUUGUUACGUUUCAGGGAAAUAACGAAACAAUAUAUCCUUCAGGUCAAGACUGCAUUAGAAAAACAUUUUUAGAAUCUCCCUAUACAGAUCCUCAGUGGUACGGAAUAUAUAUAGCGUUUUUGUUGGCCAUAUGGGUAGCUGUAUCGAUUUUGCUAUGUCGAAGAACAAGAGCUUUCGUAACGUCACUUAUUCUACUUGUUCUUAUCAUCAUCGGUUGUUUUAUUGCCUUAGCAGUGAAAGCAGUCGACGAAGACUUUAAAUAUUCUGGCCUCGAAAAACUUCUUACAAAUGUUGAUUGGUCACUUUUAGCUACAGCAAAUGUAAGUACAAGUUUUUGGCAAAGCAUGGGAUGAUAAAGUACUUUCUUAAUCGUGUAAUAGUCAUGGGCGUAACUAAAGGAAGACAUAUAGGGCACAUACCCCUUCACACGCUUCGCCGUAAAUGGUUAAUGAAUUUUGAUUUUUUUUUUAAAAUAUACAUUAGAAUUUUUAUUUUCGACAUAAACGAGCUGAC